rnacentral:sRNA from 1 species
GCUGGAUGUAGUGGCAUACAUCUGUCAUCUCAGCCACUUAGGAGGCUGAGGCAGGAGGGUCCCAAGUUUGAAGCCAGCCUCUGUGAGACCCUGUCUCAA